rnacentral:rRNA from 1 species
UACGGGGGGGGCAAGCGUUGUUCGGAAUUACUGGGCGUAAAGGGCUCGUAGGCGGCCAACUAAGUCGGAUGUGAAAUCCCCAGGCUUAACCUGGGAACUGCAUCCGAUACUGGUUGGCUUGAAUCCGGGAGAGGGAUGCGGAAUUCCAGGUGUAGCGGUGAAAUGCGUAGAUAUCUGGAGGAACACCGGUGGCGAAGGCGGCAUCCUGGACCGGCAUUGACGCUGAGGAGCGAAAGCCAGGGGAGCAAACGGG